AUUGAACGCUGGCGGCAGGCCUAACACAUGCAAGUCGAACGAGUGGCGGACGGGUGAGUAAUGUCUGGGAAACUGCCCGAUGGAGGGGGAUAACUACUGGAAACGGUAGCUAAUACCACAUACCAUAGGAUGUGACCCUAUGGGAUUGGCUAGUUGGGGGGGUAACGGCUCACCUAGGCGACGAUCCCUAGCUGGUCUGAGAGGAUGACAAGCCACACUGUAACUGAGACACGGUCCAGACGCCUACGGGAGGCAGCAGUGGGGAAUAUUGCACAAUGGGCGCAAGCCUGAUGCAGCCAUGCCGCUUGUAUGAAGAAGGCCUUCGGGUUGUAAAGUACUUUCAGCGAGGAGGCGUUACUCGCAGAAGAAGCACCGGCUAACUCCGUGCCAGCAGCCGCGGUAAUAC
rnacentral:rRNA from 1 species